GAUGAACGCUGGCGGCGUGCCUAAUACAUGCAAGUCGAGCGAACGGACGAGAAGCUUGCUUCUCUGAUGUUAGCGGCGGUCGGGUGAGUAACACGUGGAUAACCUACCUAUAAGACUGGGAUAACUUCGGGAAACCGGAGCUAAUACCGGAUGAUAUUUUGAACCGCAUGGUUCAAAAGUGAAAGACGGUCUUGCUGUCACUUAUAGAUGGAUCCGCGCUGCAUUAGCUAGUUGGUAAGGUAACGGCUUACCAAGGCAACGAUGCAUAGCCGACCUGAGAGGGUGAUCGGCCACACUGGAACUGAGACACGGUCCAGACUCCUACGGGAGGCAGCAGUAGGGAAUCUUCCGCAAUGGGCGAAAGCCUGACGGAGCAACGCCGCGUGAGUGAUGAAGGUCUUCGGAUCGUAAAACUCUGUUAUUAGGGAAGAACAUAUGUGUAAGUAACUGUGCACAUCUUGACGGUACCUAAUCAGAAGGCCACGGCUAACUACGUG
rnacentral:rRNA from 1 species